CCCAUCCCAGUAAUCUGAUUUCGAUCUAUUUGUCUGCAAAUCUUCCCAUUUGUUAUAUCACCAAAGGAAAACGAAAAAUGUCUGGCUGUGGUGGAAACUGUGGCUGUGGUUCUAGCUGCAAGUGCGGCGGCGGCUGCGGCGGGUACGUUACGCUUUCCAUUCUUCCAAUCCCUUUUAUUUAAUUAAAUUCAUCCCACAAACUGUAGUCUUUUUUUUUUUUUAAUUCGUUUUUUGGACAUGCAGUAGCUCCAUGUACCCUGACUUGAGAUCCUUUGAGAGCACCACCGUAGCCACCGAGACCCUCGUCCUCGGUGUUGCUCCUGUCAAGAUGUACGUAAAUGUGCAGUCGUUACAGAACUGUGUUUUAAAUUAUUGAUUUUUAUUUAACAGAUUUAAAUCAAUCUGACGUUACAUUAGCCUGCAUGGAAAAGGAAUCCAAACGGUGUCAUUAUUUGUGUUUUUAUAUAAAUUCAGGGACCCAAAUGAUGGAUAGGUUUGGACUGUAUUUGAUUUUUUUUUAAAUUUUUUUUCCCUCCUUGGGAUCAGGCACUCUGAGGGGUCCGAGAUGGGAUUCGGAGCCGAGGGCGGCUGCGGCUGCAAGUGUGGACCAAACUGCAAGUGCGACCCUUGUAACUGUUAAUGAAGACUACGAGACGUGAACAUGCCCCAGAAUAAAGCAGCGCUGUGAGGUCGUUUAAAUUAUAGUAUCAAUAAAAAGAACUAUUUAUCGUUUGUGGUUGG
rnacentral:lncRNA from 1 species